UACGAAGGGUGCGAGCGUUGUCCGGAAUUAUUGGGCGUAAAGGGCUCGUAGGCGGUUUGUCGCGUCGGGAGUGAAAACACCGGGCUUAACUCGGUGCUUGCUUUCGAUACGGGCAGACUAGAGGUAUGCAGGGGAGAACGGAAUUCCUGGUGUAGCGGUGAAAUGCGCAGAUAUCAGGAGGAACACCGGUGGCGAAGGCGGUUCUCUGGGCAUUACCUGACGCUGAGGAGCGAAAGUGUGGGGAGCGAACAGG
rnacentral:rRNA from 1 species